rnacentral:pre_miRNA from 1 species
GGAGCUCCUUUCAGUCCAAUACGGAGGGCUGAUCGCAGCAAGAGCUGCCAUCUCAUGCACCAUGGCAAUACUUGACAUUAAAGAAAUGUUAAAAUGUUAAGUUUGGCCAAGUGCAUGGUGUGGGAGCAACUCCUUCUGUGCUUCGCUCACCCAUUGGACUGAAGGGAGCUCCUUC